rnacentral:rRNA from 1 species
AGUGAACGCUGGCGGUAGGCCUAACACAUGCAAGUCGAACGGCAGCACAGUAAGAGCUUGCUCUUACGGGUGGCGAGUGGCGGACGGGUGAGGAAUACAUCGGAAUCUACUUUUUCGUGGGGGAUAACGUAGGGAAACUUACGCUAAUACCGCACACGACCUACGGGUGAAAGCAGGGGAUCUUCGGACCUUGCGCGAUUGAAUGAGCCGAUGUCGGAUUAGCUAGUUGGCGGGGUAAAGGCCCACCAAGGCGACGAUCCGUAGCUGGUCUGAGAGGAUGAUCAGCCACACUGGAACUGAGACACGGUCCAGACUCCUACGGGAGGCAGCAGUGGGCAAUAUUGGACAAUGGGCGCAAGCCUGAUCCAGCCAUACCGCGUGGGUGAAGAAGGCCUUCGGGUUGUAAAGCCCUUUUGUUGGGAAAGAAAAGCAGCAGGUUAAUACCCCGCUGUUCUGACGGUACCCAAAGAAUAAGCACCGGCUAACUUCGUG